UCCUCCAAGGCUAAAUACUCCUGACUGACCGAUAGUGAACCAGUACCGUGAGGGAAAGGCGAAAAGAACCCCGGCGAGGGGAGUGAAAAAGAACCUGAAACCGUGUACGUACAAGCAGUGGGAGCACAGGUUUACCUGUGUGACUGCGUACCUUUUGUAUAAUGGGUCAGCGACUUAUAUUCUGUAGCAAGGUUAACCGAAUAGGGGAGCCGGAGGGAAACCGAGUCUUAAUUGGGCGUUAAGUUGCAGGGUAUAGACCCGAAACCCGGUGAUCUAGCCAUGGGCAGGUUGAAGGUUGGGUAACACUAACUGGAGGACCGAACCGACUAAUGUUGAAAAAUUAGCGGAUGACCUGUGGCUGGGGGUGAAAGGCCAAUCAAACCGGGAGAUAGCUGGUUCUCCCCGAAAGCUAUUUAGGUAGCGCCUCGUGAAUUCAUCUCCGGGGGUAGAGCACUGUUUCGGCUAGGGGGCCAUCCCGGCUUACCAACCCGAUGCAAACUGCGAAUACCGGAGAAUGUUAUCACGGGAGACACACGGCGGGUGCUAACGUCCGUCGUGAAGAGGGAAACAACCCAGACCGCCAGCUAAGGUCCCAAAGUCAUGGUUAAGUGGGAAACGAUGUGGGAAGGCCCAGACAGCCAGGAUGUUGGCUUAGAAGCAGCCAUCAUUUAAAGAAAGCGUAAUAGCUCACUGGUCGAGUCGGCCUGCGCGGAAGAUGUAACGGGGCUAAACCAUG
rnacentral:rRNA from 1 species